AUUGAACGCUGGCGGCAGGCUUAACACAUGCAAGUCGAACGUGUGGCGGACGGGUGAGAAAGGCUUGGGAAUCUAGCUUAUGGAGGGGGAUAACUUCGGGAAACUGUAGCUAAUACCGCCUACCAUAGGAUGAGCACAAGUGGGAUUAGGUAGUUGGUGAGGUAAAGGCGCACCAAGCCGACGAUCUCUAGCUGGUCUGAGAGGAUGAACAGCAACACUGGGACUGAGACACGGCCCAGACUCCUACGGGAGGCAGCAGUGGGGAAUAUUGCGCAAUGGGGGCAACCUGACGCAGCCAUGCCGCGUGAAUGAAGAAGGCCUUCGGGUUGUAAAGUUCUUUCGGUAGCGAGGCGUUAUCUACAGAAGAAGCACCGGCUAACUCCGUGCCAGCAGCCGCGGUAAUAC
rnacentral:rRNA from 1 species